GUAGGGAAUCUUCCACAAUGGACGCAAGUCUGAUGGAGCAACGCCGCGUGAGUGAAGAAGGUCUUCGGAUCGUAAAGCUCUGUUGUUGGUGAAGAAGGAUAGAGGCAGUAACUGGUCUUUAUUUGACGGUAAUCAACCAGAAAGUCACGGCUAACUACGUGCCAGCAGCCGCGGUAAUACGUAGGUGGCAAGCGUUGUCCGGAUUUAUUGGGCGUAAAGCGAGCGCAGGCGGAAUGAUAAGUCUGAUGUGAAAGCCCACGGCUCAACCGUGGAACUGCAUCGGAAACUGUCAUUCUUGAGUGCAGAAGAGGAGAGUGGAACUCCAUGUGUAGCGGUGGAAUGCGUAGAUAUAUGGAAGAACACCAGUGGCGAAGGCGGCUCUCUGGUCUGCAACUGACGCUGAGGCUCGAAAGCAUGGGUAGCGAACAGGAUUAGAAACCCGAGUAGUCC
rnacentral:rRNA from 1 species